GCAAGUCGAGCGGAAACGAGAAGUAGCUUGCUACUUCGGCGUCGAGCGGCGGACGGGUGAGUAAUGCCUAGGAAAUUGCCCUGAUGUGGGGGAUAACCAUUGGAAACGAUGGCUAAUACCGCAUAAUGCCUUCGGGCCAAAGAGGGGGAUCUUCGGACCUCUCGCGUCAAGAUAUGCCUAGGUGGGAUUAGCUAGUUGGUGAGGUAAUGGCUCACCAAGGCAACGAUCCCUAGCUGGUCUGAGAGGAUGAUC
rnacentral:rRNA from 1 species